rnacentral:rRNA from 1 species
AUUGAACGCUGGCGGCAGGCCUAACACAUGCAAGUCGAGCGGUAGAGAGAAGCUUGCUUCUCUUGAGAGCGGCGGACGGGUGAGUAAUGCCUAGGAAUCUGCCUGGUAGUGGGGGAUAACGUUCGGAAACGGACGCUAAUACCGCAUACGUCCUACGGGAGAAAGCAGGGGACCUUAGGGCCUUGCGCUAUCAGAUGAGCCCAGGUCGGAUUAGCUAGUUGGUGAGGUAAUGGCUCACCAAGGCGACGAUCCGUAACUGGUCUGAGAGGAUGAUCAGUCACACUGGAACUGAGACACGGUCCAGACUCCUACGGGAGGCAGCAGUGGGGAAUAUUGGACAAUGGGCGAAAGCCUGAUCCAGCCAUGCCGCGUGUGUGAAGAAGGUCUUCGGAUUGUAAAGCACUUUAAGUUGGGAGGAAGGGCAGUUACCUAAUACGUGAUUGUUUUGACGUUACCGACAGAAUAAGCACCGGCUAACUCUGUGCCAGCAGCCGCGGUAAUACAGAGGGUGCAAGCGUUAAUCGGAAUUACUGGGCGUAAAGCGCGCGUAGGUGGUUAGUUAAGUUGGAUGUGAAAUCCCCGGGCUCAACCUGGGAACUGCAUUCAAAACUGACUGACUAGAGUAUGGUAGAGGGUGGUGGAAUUUCCUGU